GGACACAUGGUGUAAUGGUUACAUACCCGGAGUUUUCUUAUUAACCAGGCACCGCGGAGUAGCUGGUUCGAUUCCAGCUGUGUCCA